UACGUAGGGGGCAGGCGUUGUCCGGAUUUAUUGGGCGUAAAGAGCGUGUAGGCGGUUUGGUAGGUCCGCUGUGAAAACUCGAGGCUCAACCUCGAGACGCCGGUGGAAACCAUCAGACUAGAGUCCGGAAGAGGAGAGUGGAAUUCCUGGUGUAGCGGUGAAAUGCGCAGAUAUCAGGAAGAACACCCGUGGCUAAGGCGGCUCUCUAGUACGGUACUGACGCUGAGACGCGAAAGCGUGGGGAGCGAACAGG
rnacentral:rRNA from 1 species